UACGUAGGGUGCAAGCGUUGUCCGGAAUUAUUGGGCGUAAAGAGCUCGUAGGCGGUCUGUCGCGUCUGCUGUGAAAACUCAGGGCUUAACCCUGAGCUUGCAGUGGGUACGGGCAGACUAGAGUGCGGUAGGGGAGACUGGAAUUCCUGGUGUAGCGGUGAAAUGCGCAGAUAUCAGGAGGAACACCAAUGGCGAAGGCAGAUCUCUGGGCCGUAACUGACGCUGAGGAGCGAAAGCCGUGGGUAGCAAACAGG
rnacentral:rRNA from 1 species